UCGAUUCCCUUAGUAGCGGCGAGCGAAACGGGAAGAGCCCAAACCAACAAGCUUGCUUGUUGGGGUUGUAGGACACUCUAUACGGAGUUACAAAGGACGACAUUAGACGAAUCAUCUGGAAAGAUGAAUCAAAGAAGGUAAUAAUCCUGUAGUCGAAAAUGUUGUCUCUCUUGAGUGGAUCCUGAGUACGACGGAGCACGUGAAAUUCCGUCGGAAUCUGGGAGGACCAUCUCCUAAGGCUAAAUACUCUCUAGUGACCGAUAGUGAACCAGUACCGUGAGGGAAAGGUGAAAAGCACCCCGGAAGGGGAGUGAAAUAGAACCUGAAACCGUGUGCUUACAAGUAGUCAGAGCCCGUUAAUGGGUGAUGGCGUGCCUUUUGUAGAAUGAACCGGCGAGUUACGAUUUGAUGCAAGGUUAAGCAGUAAAUGUGGAGCCGUAGCGAAAGCGAGUCUGAAUAGGGCGUUUAGUAUUUGGUCGUAGACCCGAAACCAGGUGAUCUACCCUUGGUCAGGUUGAAGUUCAGGUAACACUGAAUGGAGGACCGAACCGACUUACGUUGAAAAGUGAGCGGAUGAACUGAGGGUAGCGGAGAAAUUCCAAUCGAACCUGGAGAUAGCUGGUUCUCUCCGAAAUAGCUUUAGGGCUAGCCUCAAGUGAUGAUUAUUGGAGGUAGAGCACUGUUUGGACGAGGGGCCCCUCUCGGGUUACCGAAUUCAGACAAACUCCGAAUGCCAAUUAAUUUAACUUGGGAGUCAGAACAUGGGUGAUAAGGUCCGUGUUCGAAAGGGAAACAGCCCAGACCACCAGCUAAGGUCCCAAAAUAUAUGUUAAGUGGAAAAGGAUGUGGCGUUGCCCAGACAACUAGGAUGUUGGCUUAGAAGCAGCCAUCAUUUAAAGAGUGCGUAAUAGCUCACUAGUCGAGUGACACUGCGCCGAAAAUGUACCGGGGCUAAACAUAUUACCGAAGCUGUGGAUUGUCCUUUGGACAAUGGUAGGAGAGCGUUCUAAGGGCGUUGAAGCAUGAUCGUAAGGACAUGUGGAGCGCUUAGAAGUGAGAAUGCCGGUGUGAGUAGCGAAAGACGGGUGAGAAUCCCGUCCACCGAUUGACUAAGGUUUCCAGAGGAAGGCUCG
rnacentral:rRNA from 1 species